rnacentral:sRNA from 1 species
UCUUCAACUGACAGCCACGACCUUUUC